GAAAACUUCAAUUAAGCGAUAUAAACUUACAUAGAUUAAAACAGAGAUCACAAAGACCUGUUCAGUAAGGUUGAAGUCUAGCUUCUGAAACAUUUUAAGCUCAUGUCUUUUUGGAAGCUACUAUGAAAAGAUUUAAAAAUUAGAGAAAAUGAUGUUUAGCCCACCAAAUAUAGGAAGAUCAAGACAUCUCUACAGCUCAAAUUGGACAUCUUACCAGAAAUCUCUUUUAGUAAUAUAUAUAACCCUAGAGAUGGCAAACUUCUGCCCAUAGUUUUAUGCUAACCCAUUAUUCUUCAGUCCACACAGGAUUUCAAGGGUUUAGCCACCUCCAUGGGCUUUGCCGGUCUUGGUGGAAAGCUUGCAUAUAUGCACAUGGAAAUUUCUACUCUUGAGGCUGCCCAUCCUGUGUCACCACUCACCAAUAUAUGCCGUUCUCCUGGGCAUUACUUGGAAGUGAGGCUAUAAAUGAGUGAAAGGAACGGGAAGGCAUCAUAUGAUAGUUUGCAAAAGGAAUUAAACUGUAUGUAGCUUUGCAUACAAGAAUACUGUACCCCUCCUCUACCCCAAGGGUACAGGUUGUAUCUUUCGUGCAAAAGAAUGAUUCACCUUCUUUCGCGACGUCCAUUGUUCGAGAUCUAUGAAGCGGAUGGAAGAAAGAGGUUGGAGUGAUUUGAGAGCUAUGCAAGGCAUGAUCCAAUGAUUCAUGCUACAAAAGAAGAUCAAUCAUCCUUUUGUGCGAAAGAUACAAACUGAACCCUAUACUGAUUGGGUUCAAAAUUUAUUAGGUUCAAAGUUGACAUUUUGACUAGGGGUUCAUGAAGCUAUGGAGUUUGAGAAGUCUUAUGACGAUUAUAGAGCUUUGUACUCUAGAUAAAGGCCCAAAGCAUCUGCGUCCAUUCAACAUGGCUUAAUUACCAAAACAUUAAGACGAAUUUACUAAACAAAUUGCAUACAUAUAUUUCCUAUUUUUAGUCAUG
rnacentral:lncRNA from 1 species